rnacentral:rRNA from 1 species
GACGAACGCUGGCGGCGUGCCUAAUACAUGCAAGUAGAACGCUGAAGAGAGGAGCUUGCUCUUCUUGGAUGAGUUGCGAACGGGUGAGUAACGCGUAGGUAACCUGCCUUGUAGCGGGGGAUAACUAUUGGAAACGAUAGCUAAUACCGCAUAACAAUGGAUGACACAUGUCAUUUAUUUGAAAGGGGCAAUUGCUCCACUACAAGGUGGACCUGCGUUGUAUUAGCUAGUAGGUGAGGUAAUGGCUCACCUAGGCGACGAUACAUAGCCGACCUGAGAGGGUGAUCGGCCACACUGGGACUGAGACACGGCCCAGACUCCUACGGGAGGCAGCAGUAGGGAAUCUUAGGCAAUGGGGGCAACCCUGACCGAGCAACGCCGCGUGAGUGAAGAAGGUUUUCGGAUCGUAAAGCUCUGUUGUAAGUAAAGAACGGGUGUGAGAGUGGAAAGUUCACACUGUGACGGUAGCUUACCAGAAAGGGACGGCUAACUACGUG